rnacentral:rRNA from 1 species
ACGAACGCUGGCGGCGUGCUUAACACAUGCAAGUCGAACGGAAAGGCCCUGCUUGCAGGGUACUCGAGUGGCGAACGGGUGCGUAACACGUGGGUGAUCUGCCCUGCACUUCGGGAUAAGCCUGGGAAACUGGGUCUAAUACCGGAUAGGAGCCAUUUUUAGUGUGAUGGUUGGAAAGUUUUUUCGGUGUAGGAUGAGCUCGCGGCCUAUCAGCUUGUUGGUGGGGUAAUGGCCUACCAAGGCGGCGACGGGUAGCCGGCCUGAGAGGGUGGACGGCCACAUUGGGACUGAGAUACGGCCCAGACUCCUACGGGAGGCAGCAGUGGGGAAUAUUGCACAAUGGGCGCAAGCCUGAUGCAGCGACGCCGCGUGGGGGAUGACGGCCUUCGGGUUGUAAACUCCUUUCGCUAGGGACGAAGCUUUUUGUGACGGUACCUAGAUAAGAAGCACCGGCUAACUACGUG